rnacentral:rRNA from 1 species
AACGAACGCUGGCGGCAUGCCUAACACAUGCAAGUCGAACGAGACCUUCGGGUCUAGUGGCGCACGGGUGCGUAACGCGUGGGAACCUGCCCUUAGGUUCGGAAUAACUCCCCGAAAGGGGUGCUAAUACCGGAUAAUGUCUUCGGACCAAAGUUUUAUCGCCUUUGGAUGGUCCCGCGUUGGAUUAGCUAGUUGGUAGGGUAAAAGCCUACCAAGGCGACGAGCCAUAGCUGGUCUGAGAGGAUGAUCAGCCACACUGGGACUGAGACACGGCCCAGACUCCUACGGGAGGCAGCAGUGGGGAAUAUUGGCCAAUGGGCGAAAGCCUGAUCCAGCAAUGCCGCGUGAGUGAUGAAGGCCUUAGGGUUGUAAAGCUCUUUUACCCGGGAUGAUAAUGACAGUACCGGGAGAAUAAGCUCCGGCUAACUCCGUG